rnacentral:rRNA from 1 species
AUUGAACGCUGGCGGCGGGCCUAACACAUGCAAGUCGAGCGAGCGGCGGACGGGUGAGUAAUGUAUGGGGACUGCCCGAUAGAGGGGGAUAACUACUGGACACGGUAGCUAAUACCGCAUACUAUCGGAUAACCCAUAUGGGAUUAGCUAGUAGGUGAGGUAAUGGCUAACCUCGGCGACGAUCCCUAGCUGGUCUGAGAGGAUGAUCAGCCAACGUGGGAGUGAGACACGGCCCAGGUUCCUACGGAGGCAGCAGUGGGUAAUAUUGCACAAUGGGCGCAAGCCUGAUGCAGCGAUGCCGCGUGUAUGAAGAAGGCCCUAGGGUUGUAAAGUACUUUCAGUCGGGAGGCGUUACCGACAGAAGAAGCACCGGCUAACUCCGUGCCAGCAGCCGCGGUAAUUC